rnacentral:rRNA from 1 species
GAACGCUGGCGGCGUGCCUAAUACAUGCAAGUCGAGCGAAGUUUUUCUGGUGCUUGCACUAGAAAAACUUAGCGGCGAACGGGUGAGUAACACGUAAAGAACCUGCCUCAUAGACUGGGACAACUAUUGGAAACGAUAGCUAAUACCGGAUAACAGCAUUAACUGCAUGGUUGAUGUUUAAAAGUUGGUUUUGCUAACACUAUGAGAUGGCUUUGCGGUGCAUUAGCUAGUUGGUGGGGUAAAGGCCUACCAAGGCGACGAUGCAUAGCCGACCUGAGAGGGUGAUCGGCCACACUGGGACUGAGACACGGCCCAGACUCCUACGGGAGGCAGCAGUAGGGAAUCUUCCGCAAUGGGCGAAAGCCUGACGGAGCAACGCCGCGUGAGUGAAGAAGGAUUUCGGUUCGUAAAGCUCUGUUGUUAGGGAAGAAUGAUUGUGUAGUAACUAUACACAGUAGAGACGGUACCUAACCAGAAAGCCACGGCUAACUACGU